CCUACGGGUGGCAGCAGUGGGGAAUAUUGGGCAAUGGACGCAAGCCUGACCCAGCAACGCCGCGUGAAGGAAGAAGGCCUUCGGGUUGUAAACUUCUUUUGUCAGGGACGAAACAAAUGACGGUACCUGACGAAUAAGCCACGGCUAACUACGUGCCAGCAGCCGCGGUAAUACGUAGGUGGCAAGCGUUAUUCGGAUUUACUGGGUGUAAAGGGCGUGUAGGCGGGAGAGCAAGUCAGAUGUGAAAUUCCAGGGCUCAACCCUGGAACUGCAUUUGAAACUGUUUUCCUUGAGUGCUGGAGAGGCAGGCGGAAUUCCGUGUGUAGCGGUGAAAUGCGUAGAUAUAAGGAGGAACACCAGUGGCGAAGGCGGCCUGCUGGACUGUAACUGACGCUGAGGCGCGAAAGCGUGGGGAGCAAACAGGAUUAGAUACCCCAGUAGUC
rnacentral:rRNA from 1 species